AGAAUCCCGACGACCUAAGUGGCAUUUUCUCGAGAAAAUAGCGGUCGAAAAAUUCAAAAAAUCGGAAAAAAUGGAGCUGCUCAAGCUGUCAAAAUUCAAAUUGCAGCUUCAAUCGAUGAUCGGAGAAGUGAGAGAUCUGCGUGAAAGGGAGCGAUCAGUCACAGAUCACUUGAAUCUCAUCAAUCAGAAACAGAAGCACACGGAGGAGGAAUCCAGCAGGAAAGUGCACGAGCUAGAAUCCGAGAUAGCUUCUUCUAGAGAAUCACAAGAGGCGCUCGAGAGGAAGGUGAGUUAUCUCCAGAACGACUAUAGUUUGCUGGAAAACAAGCAGAACGAAUUGAAGAAUACUAUCCAAAACCUGCUUCAAUCGCGAGAAAGUUUCUUAAAUGCUUACCAGGAGUCGUUUAGUGAAAUGAGAUGUUCAGUUGAGGCCAGGGAUAGGAAGAUUGCCAUCCUUCACCAGAAGAUAACAUCUCACUUGGCAUUGUUCGAUUCAAUUGAGAAGGAGGCGUCUGCAAUCAAGAACGUUAUUCAGGAAGUUCAGGGCCUUGUGGAUCAAAAGGAAGAUGUAGUGGCUGGCUUGAAAGGAAAAAUGGACCAUGUCUCUACGUAUGAGAAAGUAUUCAUUGAGAAAAUCAGAACUUUAGAAGAGAAAAUUGAAUAUCUUGAAGCAGAAUUGCAGAGCAAGGAUAAUAGAAUAUCAGAGCUUUGCGCUCAGCUGGAAGAAGCGAAGAUGAAAAACGAAUAUCAACUUCAAAUUGAAGAGUUUCAGAAAACUUUGAAGGUCAAAGAUUUAGUUGUGGAGAACUUGAUUUCUGAGAAGGAGGCAUUGCAUUCUGAAGUGAGGAGUUUAGAGAUGAUCUUACUGCGGAUUCAAGAAUCUGUCACCCUCAUGACCGAAGAGGACAGAAGGGUGUUCACAUCAAUACUGACAUACGAACAAGGUGCCGAUGAAAGAAACAACCAUUCGAGGUACAAUUACACAGUUGACAAAACGGAGGAACUUGCAUGUGAAGCUCCUAUUCUGGGUUCCCAAGAAAAUUCAGCAAACGUUAUUUCAUCAGCGUCUCCUCGGUGUCCUCACCAAAACACAGGCUGCAGUUUGGUACAGGACGCUGAUCAUAGACUGGACUCGGCGCAGUCUCUGCAGCAUAACACCGUCAGUGGCCAUGGGCAGAGUACUAAUAACAAUGACCACUUUGACCCCAAGGACAAGUGCAAAGAGUUAACGAACCAGCCUGAUUCAGAGUGCUCAACUAAUCGUGUAUAAAAAGGGAAGUGUCUAAUCACGAUUUAUGAUCGUUAUCACUUAUUAAAGUUAUGCUCUUGUACACGAUUAGUUAGGACUUGGUUCAUGUAAACGACAAGAACAUGGGUUUUCUACUCUCACACGCAAUGAACUAGACGUAGAGAAAAGAUGAGAUAUCUAAAUUUAACUAACCGGAGAUUGUAAUCUAAUGGUUUGAACCAGCAUUGUCCCCAUGCGCCAUUAUUUGAAUAAACCUUAUGUGUUAGAGCAUCUCCAUCCAUAAGGAUGAAGAUGCCCUUAUGAAAUAAAGAGAGAUAUUUUGUGACGAUUCUAAUAAAUGAGCAGCACUUGGCUGUUAGUGACAUAGGUUUAGUAGUCUAAUGCUAAUUUGUUAGAUGCCAUUCGAAAAUUACUACAUGUCAUUUUGUUAAACGUUUCCAUUAAAGCGGUGUAUUUAAGAUUAUAGGGAACAUCAAAGAUGACACACAUGGUCCACCAUUCGAUUUCAUCGCUGGAUCCAACUAUCCACACACUUAUCAGUUUUGUGUAAAUAAAUUAAAAGCUGACAGGAAAAAGUAAGAAAAAAAAAUGUUAUGCACAUCUGCGGGAUUGCUCGAAUAGGGCGCAUCAAUGAAUAAUUUUAAAGGAAACGUCACUUUCCAUGUUUGUGUUAACUUUAUUUGUACCUUUUUGUAAAUGUAAGUUAACUAACGAAACAGGCCUGAUACCACU